rnacentral:lncRNA from 1 species
AUGAGCAUUUGUAAACAGAAUUGGUUGGCAACCGGAGGGUCCUCAUGCCAUUUGUCAGCUUUUCCCUACAAUUGCUUUCCUCUUCCAACAAGUUUCAGCCCUUUCCUUCUCCUCUCUGCAGCGUUAUCAAACAGGGGCACGCUCGUGCUGGAAGCUGCUAUGAAGAGUGCCCUCCUGGCCCUUGAAGAGGCGAUCUCGGAGCAUUUUCGGAGAGUGCAGGAGUGCGAGGAGUGUGUGCUUUGCCUAUUUGGAGACUGUGGAAAUGGGACCCAGGAAUGUGCUUCCUCUGAUGGUCCUUUGGAUUCCCUGCCCAGUUGUGAAGUUGUGCUCCAAGCCCAGGCGGUGCCGGAACAACCUGCCAGAAACUGGGCCCUUAGCAAAGCCUGCGCUCCUUAUCGGCGCUUGUGCAUGGGCCAAGACUUGGCACCAGACAGCUGCAUUCACCUUAUGGUCGGCCACUGCCAGCUCCGACUCCAGGAAUGCCGUGAGUGGGAAGGGGAGGCAGCAGAGCUCGGAAAAUAAUCCUUUCUAGACAUAGAAAAAACAUUUGAUAGACUAAAUUGGAACUUUAUGAUGGAAGUUCUCCAAGUACAUGAUAUGGGAGACCAAUUUAUAAAAACAGUAAGAACUAUUUACAAAGAUCAAUAUGCACAGUUGAUAAUCAAUGGGGAAAAACAUGAAGAAUUAUAAUAAGGUGUAGUACCAGGCAAGGCUAUCUGCUUUUGCCACCCCUCUUUAUUUUGUGUAUAGAUAUACAGUAGAGUCUCGCUUAUCCAACGUAAACAGGCCGGCAAAAGCUUGGAUAAGCGAAUAUGUUGGAUAAAAAGGAGAGAUUAAGGAAAAGCCUAUUAAACAUCAAAUUAGGUUAUGAUUUUACAAAUUAAGCACCAAAACAUCAUGUUAUGCAACAAAUUUGGCAAAGUAGUUCAAUAUGCAGUAAUGCUACAUAGUAAUUACUAUAUUUACGAAUUUAGCACCAAAAUAUCACGAUGUAUUGAAAACAUUGACUACAAAAAUGCGUUGGAUAAUCCAGAAUGUUGGAUAAGUGAGACUCUACUGUACUUAUAAAAGAAGACAGUCCACAAAUUUGGGAACCCACCCAGUCCAUUUUAAUUUAUGAAUAUCAAAUUUACAUUUCAUUAGUAUUGGUGUUUUGAUUUCUGUUCUAUGUUAUUAAUAUAUUUAUUUUUAUGGUCCUUUGUUGUGUCCAUGGAGAAGAGACAAGUAACCGGUAUUAUUGCAUAGGUCAUCACACGUUUUGGUGCCUCAAAUGCUGGAUCUGUUUCCAGGUAUAUUUGACCUGCUGGUUCCACAAAUGGCACCAGUUGUCCCUGAUCAGCUCUAGUUUUUGAGAUACAGAACAUAUACUAUCUACCAGUUGCCAUCUGUUUAGCCAUCAAAACAAAAUGAUAACAAAACAAUGAUAAGCACAUCUACUAAAACUAGAGCUGAUGCAGUCUAUUGAACGCAAUUUUCUGAAUCAGUGCCUCAAAUAAACUGAAGAACAGGCCUAAAACCAAGGCACUAAGAAUAUAUUUGGUUGGGUUGUUGUUGUUAUUGUUAUUAUUACAGUCACAUUUCUUAGAUUUGAAAAUGUCAUCGAUUGUAACAUGUACAGUAAUUCCAGUAUCACUAACAGAAAAAGGAAAGCACCUGAUGUUCUAAGGCCCUGUCUACACUGCCCUAUAAUAUAGUUUCAGAAUGAAGAUUGAUUGCAUUUUAUGGCAGUGUGGACUCUCAUAAUACUAUUCAAUGCAGUUAAACUGCAUUAUAUGGCAGUGCAUAUGGAACCUAUAACAUCCAUUUUUAGAUCUGUUUAUAUGGGGGGGGGAGGAAGAGAACUUUAUAAUUAAAUCUCCUCUU